CGGGUGCACUGAUCCAGCCGGGCCUUUCCCUCUGUGGAACCCCAUGGCCUUCACUGGCUGUGGUGGGGAAACAGGACUUUUACUUUGAAAAAAUUAGAGUGCUCCAGGCAGGCCUAUGCUCGAAUACAUUAGCAUGGAAUAAUAGAAUAGGACGUGUGGUUCUAUUUUGUUGGUUUCUAGGACCGCCGUAAUGAUUAAUAGGGACAGUCGGGGGCAUCAGUAUUCAAUUGUCAGAGGUGAAAUUCUUGGAUCUAUUGAAGACUAACUACUGCGAAAGCAUUUGCCAAGGAUGUUUUCAUUGAUAAGGAACGAAAGUUAGGGGAUCGAAGACGAUCAGAUACCGUCGUAGUCCUAACUAUAAACUAUGCCGACUAGGGAUCGGACGAUGUUAUUCUUUGACGCGUUCGGCACCUUUCGAGAAAUCAAAGUGCUUGGGCUCCAGGGGGAGUAUGGUCGCAAGGCUGAAACUUAAAGAAAUUGACGGAAGGGCACCACCAGGGGUGGAACCUGCGGCUUAAUUUGACUCAACACGGGGAAACUCACCAGGUCCAGACACAGUGAGGAUUGACAGAUUGAGAGCUCUUUCUUGAUUCUGUGGGUGGUGGUGCAUGGCCGUUCUUAGUUGGUGGAGUGAUUUGUCUGCUUAAUUGCGAUAACGAACGAGACCUUAACCUGCUAAAUAGCCCGUACUGCUUUGGCAGUUCGCCGGCUUCUUAGAGGGACUAUCGG
rnacentral:rRNA from 1 species